GGAUUGCCUCAGUAAAGGCGAGUGAAGCGGCAAGAGCUCAAAUUUGAAAGCUGGCUCCUUCGGGGUCCGCAUUGUAAUUUGCAGAGGAUGCUUCGGGAGUGGCCCCCAUCUAAGUGCCCUGGAACGGGCCGUCAUAGAGGGUGAGAAUCCCGUCUGGGAUGGGGUGUCCACGCCCGUGUGAAGCUCCUUCGACGAGUCGAGUUGUUUGGGAAUGCAGCUCUAAAUGGGUGGUAAAUUUCAUCUAAAGCUAAAUACUGGCCGGAGACCGAUAGCGCACAAGUAGAGUGAUCGAAAGAUGAAAAGCACUUUGAAAAGAGAGUUAAACAGCACGUGAAAUUGUUGAAAGGGAAGCGCUUGCGACCAGACUCGCCCACGGGGUUCAGCCGGCAUUCGUGCCGGUGUACUUCCCCGCGGGCGGGCCAGCGUCGGUUUGGGCGGCCGGUCAAAGGCCCUCGGAAUGUAACGCCCCCCGGGGCGUCUUAUAGCCGAGGGUGCCAUGCGGCCAGCCCGGACCGAGGAACGCGCUUCGGCUCGGACGCUGGCAUAAUGGUCGUAAGCGACCCGUCUUGAAACACGGACCAAGGAGUCUAACAUCUACGCGAGUGUUCGGGUGUCAAACCCGUGCGCGCAGUGAAAGCGAACGGAGGUGGGAACCCCUCGGGGUGCACCAUCGACCGAUCCUGAUGUCUUCGGAUGGAUUUGAGUAAGAGCGUAGCUGUUGGGACCCGAAAGAUGGUGAACUAUGCCUGAAUAGGGCGAAGCCAGAGGAAACUCUGGUGGAGGCUCGCAGCGGUUCUGACGUGCAAAUCGAUCGUCAAAUUUGGGUAUAGGGGCGAAAGACUAAUCGAACC
rnacentral:rRNA from 1 species